UACGAAGGGAGCUAGCGUUGUUCGGAAUCACUGGGCGUAAAGCGCACGUAGGCGGAUGUGUCAGUCAGGGGUGAAAUCCCGGAGCUCAACUUCGGAACUGCCUUUGAUACAGCACAUCUGGAGUCCGGAAGAGGUGGGUGGAAUUCCUAGUGUAGAGGUGAAAUUCGUAGAUAUUAGGAAGAACACCGGUGGCGAAAGCGGCGCGCUGGACCUCUUCUGACGCUGAGGCGCGAAAGCUAGGGGAGCAAACGGG
rnacentral:rRNA from 1 species